UAAGUGAGCCACCUGGGGAGUACGAUCGCAAGGUUGAAACUCAAAGGAAUUGACGGGGGCCCGCACAAGCGGAGGAACAUGUGGUUUAAUUCCGAUGAUACGCGAGGAACCUUACCUGGGCUUAAAUGUAGAACGACAGAUUGUGAAAGCAGUCCUUCUUCGGACGUUUUACAAGGUGCUGCAUGGUUGUCGUCAGCUCGUGCCGUGAGGUGUCGGGUUAAGUCCCCAUAACGAGCGCAACCCUUAUCGUUAGUUGCCAGCGGGUCAAGCCGGGGACUCUAGCGAGACUGCCACCGUAAGGUGUGAGGAAGGUGGGGAUGACGUCAAAUCAGCACGGCCCUUAUGUCCAGGGCUACACACGUGUUACAAUGGCCGAUACAAAGGGCAGCUACCAGGUGACUGGAUGCUAAUCUCCAAAGUCGGUCUCAGUUCGGAUCGAAGUCUGCAACUCGACUUCGUGAAGCUGGAUUCGCUAGUAAUCGCAUAUCCAGCCAUGAUGCGGUGAAUACGUUCCGCGGCGCCUUGUAC
rnacentral:rRNA from 1 species